rnacentral:lncRNA from 1 species
GUUAUGGGAUUGAUGUUCCAUUAACAUAUUUAUUGGAAGAUCACCUAGCUGUAUGUUGUUAACUGGAUUGCUUUUCUUUAUGAUACAUUACAGGUGACGUGAUGCCUCAGAAUGGUAUGAACUAUGAGGGUGGAAGAGGAGGGACGCGUCACAACACCUGUAAAGCCAACGGUCAGGUUCCAGGCACAGGUUUGGUUAAUGGAGCUGUUGUUCACAAUGGCUGCCCAGCUGAUGCCACUAGAACCAGUGAGAAAACCCCAGCUGGCACACUGAACGAUACCAAACCACAAUGCAUGGUUGAUGGUUAUAUUUACCAGAGCUCCAAGGGCAGCAGUACAAAAGCAGCGCCCCCAAGGACAAUCAGGAGACAAGGAAGCACGAUUUCAGCUGUCACUGAUGCCUCAGCAGCUGGCAGGGUCCGCAGUUCAGGAACUCCAGGUGGUAUCUCAGUGAAUGGGGACACCGGUCUAGACACUGUUGCUUUGCCAUGUAAUUCUGACCAAAUGGCACCGCAGCCCAGCCUGUUGGCAGCAGCAAAGAUCCAGAGAAGAAGGAAGAAAUUCAGACAUAAAAAGAGAGACACAGAAGUCGUCCAUCCAGUGUACCCUAUUCUCCCAUUGAUGCCCCCACAAGAGAAGGAAGACUGGGAAAAGGAGAUCCAAGAGGUCACAAAGACUGACUGGGGAAAGUUCUGUUUCGGAGACACACCCUACGGUCCACAAGAUGUUAUCCGUUUUGAUUUGCACGAUUUGACACUUAAGCAAAGGGACACAGUUGACCUGCCGGUGACAGCCAAUUACAAACCAGCCGUACACCACCCUCCCCCUGUCAAAUGGUCCUGCUACAGCAUUCCCACGGAGACGGACCAGUUCGCAGACGCUGACGAGUAAGCCAGACGCAUGUUGUUAUGUUAAAGGAUUGGUAGAAGUCAAUGUUCACAUACCAAAAGUAACUAAGGGGUUCUGCUGUAAAUCGUGUUAGCCCUUAUUGGCAUUGUGCAGAUUUGGGGAUCCUGGGUAGUACCCAUGCUUAGAAUAUUUGUUUAGUCACCAUGAGUCUUAUUUUCCUCAUCUAAAACAUUAUUGGACAUUUUUUUUUAUUUAAAACUUCUCUGGGUUAAUGGUAUCUCAGGUCAAAGAUUAUAGGGUGGAGCCUAGGUUGCAAUCAGGUUAUUUUUAUU